rnacentral:rRNA from 1 species
GUCUUUUAGAUUUUAAUUUAAGGUUGGGCCUGCUCUAUGAUUUAGUUAAAUGGCUGCAAUAAUUUAAUUGUACUAAGGUAGCAUAAUCAUUUGUUUUUUAAUUGAAAACUGGUAUGAAUGGUUUGAUGAAAAAUUUUUUUUAUUAAUUUGAUUUUUUGAAUUUUAUUUUAAGUAAAAAAUCUUAAAUUUUUUUAUGGGACGAGAAGACCCUUUAGAAUUUUAUUUAACUUAAUUUAUUUAUUUUUGUUUUAUUAUUAUUUAUUUUUAAGUAUUAAUUUUGUUGGGGUGAUUAAGGAAUUUUAUUAACUUUUUUUUGAUUUUUCAUUAAUUUUUGUUUUUUUGAUCCAUUUUUUGAUUAUAAGUUUAAAUUACCUAAGGGAUAACAGCGUUAUUUAUUUGGAGAGUUCUUAUUGAUAAUUAAGUUUGCGA